rnacentral:rRNA from 1 species
GAUGAACGCUGGCGGCGUGCCUAAUACAUGCAAGUCGAGCGAACGGACGAGAAGCUUGCUUCUCUGAUGUUAGCGGCGGACGGGUGAGUAACACGUGGAUAACCUACCUAUAAGACUGGGAUAACUUCGGGAAACCGGAGCUAAUACCGGAUAAUAUUUUGAACCGCAUGGUUCAAAAGUGAAAGACGGUCUUGCUGUCACUUAUAGAUGGAUCCGCGCUGCAUUAGCUAGUUGGUAAGGUAACGGCUUACCAAGGCAACGAUGCAUAGCCGACCUGAGAGGGUGAUCGGCCACACUGGAACUGAGACACGGUCCAGACUCCGACGGGAGGCAGCAGUAGGGAAUCUUCCGCAAUGGGCGAAAGCCUGACGGAGCAACGCCGCGUGAGUGAUGAAGGUCUUCGGAUCGUAAAACUCUGUUAUUAGGGAAGAACAUAUGUGUAGUAACUGUGCACAUCUUGACGGUACCUAAUCAGAAAGCCACGGCUAACUACGUG